rnacentral:rRNA from 1 species
CAGCAGCCGCGGGAAUACGGAGGGUGCAGCGUUAAUCGGAAUUACUGGGCGUAAAGCGCACGCAGGCGGUUUGUUAAGUCAGAUGUGAAAUCCCCGAGCUUAACUUGGGAACUGCAUUUGAAACUGGCAAGCUAGAGUCUUGUAGAGGGGGGUAGAAUUCCAGGUGUAGCGGUGAAAUGCGUAGAGAUCUGGAGGAAUACCGGUGGCGAAGGCGGCCCCCUGGACAAAGACUGACGCUCAGGUGCGAAAGCGUGGGGAGCAAACAGGAUUAGAUACCCCAGUAGUCCCUGUCUCUUAUACA